GAUGAACGCUGGCGGCGUGCCUAAUACAUGCAAGUCGAACGGGGAGUAGCAAUACUCUUAGUGGCGAACGGGUGAGUAACGCGUUGGUACCUGCCCCGAAGCGGGGGAUAACGGACCGAAAGGUCCGCUAAUACCCCAUGUGCUCGGUAACGAGUAAAGGUGAAAACCACUUUGGGAGGGGCAUGCGUCCCAUCAGCUAGUUGGUAAGGUAACGGCUUACCAAGGCGAUGACGGGUAGGGGACCUGAGAGGGUGGCCCCCCACAAUGGAACUGAAACACGGUCCAUACACCUACGGGUGGCAGCAGUAGGGAAUAUUGGUAAUGGGCGCAAGCCUGAACCAGCAACGCCGCGUGUGCGAUGACGGCCUUCGGGUUGUAAAGCACUUUUGACUGGGACGAGGAAGGACGGUACCGGUCGAAUCAGCCUCGGCUAACUACGUG
rnacentral:rRNA from 1 species